GUCCAGUCAGCAGCAGAAUAAGAAAGUGUACUGAUGUCGCUGUUCAGGAGGUUGGCUGUGGGGGCCAAGUCAGAAAUGGAAAUCUCAGGAUGUUGUGUGAAGAUUAAAGAGGAAAAAAGAGAAGAGGGAUGGAGAAGUCAAGGAAAGCUAUUAUACUGAAAGUAGUCUGGUUGCAGGUAUAAAGGACAAUGAACAAGCUGAAAAAUGUUUCUGGAGUUAAGCUUGUGAUAUUGGCAGUUCGAGAAUGGACAGAAAACAUGGGAAAUACGUAGUGAAUAUUGAACCUUCUGGAAAC